rnacentral:rRNA from 1 species
CCUACGGGUGGCAGCAGUAGGGAAUCUUCCACAAUGGGCGAAAGCCUGAUGCAGCAACGCCGCGUGGGUGAAGAAGGUCUUCGGAUCGUAAAACCCUGUUGUUAGAGAAGAAAGUGCGUGAGCGUAACUGUUCACGUUUCGACGGUAUCUAACCAGAAAGCCACGGCUCACUACGUGCCAGCAGCCGCGGUAGUACGUAGGUGGCAAGCGUUAUCCGGAUUUAUUGGGCGUAAAGGGAACGCAGGCGGUCCUUUAAGUCUGAUGUGAAAGCCUUGGGCUUAACCGGAGUAGUGCAUUGGAAACUGGGAGACUUGAGUGCAGGAGAGGAGUGCGGAACUCCAGGUGUAGCGGUGAAAUGCGUAGAUAUAUGGAAGAACACCAGUGGCGAAGGCGGCUUGCUGGUCUGUAACUGACGCUGAGGUUCGAAAGCGUGGGUAGCAAACAGGAUUAGAUACCCUUGUAGUC